GUACACAAAACAUGGGACAUGUUCUCAUCUCCUCUCAUCUCUCUUCUGCUGACUCUCUCUCUCUCUCCGAUUAUCUCUCUUUCACUUCCCCACUUCUCCUUCUAUGCCCUCAAACCACUACAACACCCCACCUCCCCACUAUCUCAUUCUCUCCCAAUAUACAUAUCCUUAUAAUUCCGAAAAUUAAAACCACAGUCAUUCCCUUCCAUUUUACUACUUAGUCCAAAGAAAGAAAGAGAGAGAAAUUGAGUUCUCAUCCAUGGAGUUUUUGGAGAGAGAGAGAGAAAAACGGGUUCCUACAUAGCUCCAUACAUCAAAUUCGGAUUUCCAAUCAACCACUACAUCACCAAGCAUCCAUAGCCCACCUUCCAUUCGUUCCGAGGCAGCCCCGGAGUUCUCCGAUUCCGUCGUCUUCUCCAAUCGCUAAAAAUCAACCGGACCCAUUAAUCUCUUUUUUCGGCCGGAUUCGAGGUAAUCAAGAGACCGAAGAACAGAAUCCUCUUCAAGAUGAUCAGUACCAGGGUGAGGACCUCCCAGUUGAGGAAGGGGAGUUUGUCGAGCCUUGGAUGUCUUACCCUUAGAAGCUCUGUUAAUUUAAAGUAUUGUUAUUUGAAUUUUCAAAAGUGUUAUCACAUUUAUCAAACUUUGUUUUAUUUCGUUGGAUUGUAAGACAGUUAAGUAUUUUUGAAUUUAGUAUUUUGAGA